AACACGAGGGUGCGGGGAGGAGCUGUGGGAGGCCCGGCGCGCUGACGUCAGACCGGCGACACAGUCCUGCGCAGGCGCCCCCCGGCCCCUGCAAGGGGUGGGUGUUUGUUAGCUCUCUGCGGUUUUUUGGAAGCUGUGCUACCCUACUCGAGGGUAGUCCCCUGGAGUAAGAAGGGAAGCAGGCAUAAAGGAGUACUGGCCCCAAAACAAGCCAGGAAAGACGUGCAACUGUCCGGAGAGUGGGAACUUAAAUGGCAAAAGGUAUUUGGAGGACAAUUUUAAGGACUUCUGCUGUCUCAUGCCCAGUGUAAUUCUAAUUUCAGCUCUCAGGUUGGAGACACAACAUAGCCUAAGCGUACCGCAAGGGGAGCCCAAGAAGCCCAGUUACACUUUUGAGUAUAAACAAAAAAGUUGUACCAGUUCCUCCCUGUUACUCUCAUCGUACAAGAAAGAAACAGCAAGAUGAAGUUGCCCCAAGGUCGCUCAACUACAGCAAGAAUUCAAACUCAGAAACCAUGCUAUUAUCCACUGCUAUGCUGACAAGGGAAACAUAACACCAUUUACUGGGCCAGACCACGGUGCUAAGUGCUUUGCAUACACUACCCUUUAACCCUCAACAACCUAUGAGGUUGGAAUCAUUAGCUCUAUUUUCUAUAUUGUAACCUAAGACUCAUAGGUCUGCUCUCCAGGCCCGCCUAAAACAGCUUUGAAACUCA